AGGAGAACCGAGGAGCCAAUCAGCCAAACUUCGUCAAUUGUCCCUCAGUAGCGGAGAGCAUCUCCGUUCUGCUCUGUGCCUUUCAAUCAAAAUAGAUGCAAGCACUAAGAACUUGUCCGAUCAUGAAGAGACCAAGAACCAUUCCUUCAGCCCCAUCAACCCCACCAUCCCCACAAAUUAUCCAAUCCAAAAAGACCCCAACUUCAAGAUCAUUCUCUUCUAUAAAACCAAGAAAUAUUCUAAUAAAUCCAACACCAACAACUGAACAAGACCCCAAAUGGGUACCCCUCAACUUAUCAAGAUCAGAACUUUACUUGCCCCUCACCUUCCCAACUGGCCAAACCUUCAGGUGGAAACAGACUGCGCCCAUUCAGUACACUGGUGUUGUUGGUAGGUCCCACUUGGUCUCACUGAAGCAGCUUGACAAUGGUGAUGUUGGAUACCAUUUUCAUUGCACUAACUCUAAGGCUGCUGCUUCUAGGGAGGAAGCCCUUGUUGAUUUUCUCAAUGUGGGUAUUUCUCUAAGUGAGGUUUGGGAGAGUUUUAAGGCUUCUGAUUCGAGAUUUGCUGAGUUGGCUACACAUUUGGAGGGUGCUAGAGUCCUAAGGCAAGACCCACUUGAGUGUCUCAUUCAGUUUAUUUGCUCAUCUAAUAAUAAUAUCAAGAGAAUUACCAUGAUGGUCGAUUUUGUUUCGUCAUUGGGGAAUUAUUUGGGAGAUGUUGGAGGUUUCAAGUUUUAUGAGUUCCCUUCACUUGAAAGGUUGGCAAUGGUUUCUGAACAAGAGCUAAGAGCUGCUGGUUUUGGCUACAGGGCCAAAUAUAUAGUUGGUACAGUGGAAGCACUGCAAUCAAAGCCUGGUGGAGGUACGGAGUGGCUUGCUGCACUUCGUAAAGUAGAUCUUCCCGAGGCCAUUGAUGCUCUGUGCUCUCUACCUGGUGUUGGUCCUAAGGUCGCAGCAUGUAUUUCUCUCUUUUCUCUUGAUCAGCACCAUGCUAUUCCUGUUGAUACUCAUGUGUGGAAGAUCGCGACCAAGUACCUCCUCCCUGAGCUAGCAGGAACCAGUCUUACACCUAAACUUAGCAGUCGUGUAGCAGAUGCUUUUGUGAAGACAUAUGGAAAAUAUGCUGGUUGGGCCCAAACUCUGCUUUUCAUUGCGGAACUACCUUCGCAGAAAGCACUCUUGACAUCAAGCCUUUUGAAUUCUACAGUAGAGAAGUCUCCUAAAUCCAAAAAAAGAAAACAGGGUGGGAUCACAGAGAUCCCUAUAGGAUGAUACGUCGUGCUUGUGUUUUCAUGCUCGAAGUUAGACCUAAUCUACGUGCAGAGCUGAUGAAGACUGUUCUUUCUAGUUCUUACCAUCUGAGGCAUGAUAAAAUGCAUCUAGCAGAGUAGCAGGUGAGCGUUUUGCAUGAGCAUGAAGUCAUUGUACCAUAAUUGUUUGAUUGGUGGUGACUAGCAACCUAAAUUUUGUAAGUUGGGUCUUUGUUGGUCUGUUUUGUUAGUUCCAAUCUGGACAUUCAGGCUGCUUAAGUUUCACAUAUUUGAAAUAUGUAGGACUUCCUUUUGUAAGAACAUAUUAAUUUGCAUUAACAGCAUAUUGUGCGUGAAAUUGGUUGGCGGUUUCAGUUUGCAUUGCCUAUUGAUCUGA